GCUCCGUUCCCAUGGCUCUCGGCCCCGCCCCACUCGUCACAUCCACGACUGGCAAAGCCUGCAGGACCUCAGAUCUGCAGUGUGUCAUCUCUAACUGGACUAACAUAAACACACAGAGAGAAAGGCUAUGUGGAGCUUCUGUUGGAAAAUAGCCCAGACAAAGCCCACAGGAGGACAAGAGCAUCAGGAGCAACUCACAGGGGAAUUUGAAUAUUUGUUAUUUAGAGGAAAGCAUCAUCCUUGUAGCUGGUCUUUAAGGCUUGUGUACAGAAACAGUUCAUCCAAAAAAGAAAAUGAUCAUUUACGCACUUUUAUGUUGUCCCAAGCCAGUCUUUCUACAGUACAGCAUGUUCCUGGUCUUGCUUUUCUGUAUACUGAGCGGGAAUGAGGAAGUAUGUUCAAAUAUAUGACAUUUAUUUGUAAUAAAUGUUAUCAGAGUAUGUUAAUAACUAAUACUAAUAAGACUAUAAUGUGAGAAAAACACCCCACUGGAAUGAAUGGAAUUUAUCAGGAGUUUUAAACUCAUGAUUCUUCAAAAACAGUCCAAAUUUAUUAAGCCUGAAUAUUUAUUUCAAACAAAA